UACGGGGGGAGCAAGCGUUGUUCGGAUUUACUGGGCGUAAAGGGCGCGUAGGUGGUUUGCCAAGUCGGGGUUGAAAUCUUUCGGCUCAACCGGAAAAGUGGCUUCGAUACUGGCAAGCUGGAGGGAGGUAGGGGCAGAGGGAAUUCCGGUGGAGCGGUGAAAUGGCAUUGAGAUACGGAAAGAACACCAACGGCGAAAGCACUCUGCUGGGCCGGACACUGACACUGAGAGACGAAAGCUAGGGGAGCAAAUGGG
rnacentral:rRNA from 1 species